UACGUAGGGUGCGAGCGUUAAUCGGAAUUACUGGGCGUAAAGCGUGCGCAGGCGGUUCGUUGUGUCGGCGGUGAAAGCCCCGGGCUUAACCUGGGAAUGGCCGUUGAAACUGGCGAACUGGAGUGUGGCAGAGGGGGGUGGAAUUCCGCGUGUAGCAGUGAAAUGCGUAGAGAUGCGGAGGAACACCGAUGGCGAAGGCAGCCCCCUGGGCUAACACUGACGCUGAGGUGCGAAAGCAUGGGGAGCAAACAGG
rnacentral:rRNA from 1 species